UACGUAGGGGGCAAGCGUUGUCCGGAAUCAUUGGGCGUAAAGAGCGUGUAGGCGGUUCGGUAAGUCGGCUGUGAAAGUCCAGGGCUCAACCCUGGGAUGCCGGUCGAUACUGCCGGACUAGAGUUCGGAAGAGGCGAGUGGAAUUCCCGGUGUAGCGGUGAAAUGCGCAGAUAUCGAGAGGAACACCUGCGGCGAAGGCGGGUUGCUGGGCUGACACUGACGCUGAGGCGCGAAAGCUAGGGGAGCGAACGGG
rnacentral:rRNA from 1 species